rnacentral:rRNA from 1 species
GACGUAGGGCGCGAGCGUUGUCCGGAUUUAUUGGGCGUAAAGAGCUCGUAGGCGGCUCGUUGCGUCGGCUGUGAAAACCCGCAGCUCAACUGCAGGCUUGCGGUCGAUACGGGCAGGCUGGAGUUCGGUAGGGGAGACUGGAACUCCGGUGUGAGCGGUGGAAAUGCGCAGAUAUCAGGAGGAACACCGGUGGCGAAGGCGGGUCCUCUGGGCCGAUACUGACGCUGAGGAGCGAAAGCGUGGGGAGCGAACAGG